GCCGCCUUAGCUCAGGGGUAGAGCAACGCACUCGUAAUGCGUAGGUCCCGGGUUCAAUUCCCGGAGGCGGCU
rnacentral:tRNA from 1 species